CUGCUCCCUCAGUGAGAAUUAGAGGAAGAAACCACUUGAAUCACAUAUGAAACAUUCAGCCCAAUCAAAGCAACCUUCAAGAGCUGAAAAGUAACCACAGCUUUGAGAGUCCAUGCAAAUGUUUCUGGUAUAUUCCUGGAAACUGUGGAGAAAUGAAACAUGAAAGACAGGACAAAGUCCCUUCUCUCAAAGGGCUUUAUUCUAGAGCACACAGGAUAACAAUUGCAUGAAGCCAAGGACAGACGUGUCCCUACAUUCAUCAGGUGGUUAGCUCCUGAAUUGAACCAAAUACCAAAGUCUCUGAUUAGAGGUAACUGGUUUCCUUCCUG